rnacentral:rRNA from 1 species
UGAGUAACCUGCCCUUAACUCUGGGAUAAGCCUGGGAAACUGGGUCUAAUACCGGAUAUGACUCCUCAUCGCAUGGUGGGGGGUGGAAAGCUUUAUUGUGGUUUUGGAUGGACUCGCGGCCUAUCAGCUUGUUGGUGAGGUAACGGCUCACCAAGGCGACGACGGGUAGCUGGUCUGAGAGGAUGGCCAGCCACAUUGGGACUGAGACACGGCCCAGACUCCUACGGGAGGNAG